rnacentral:lncRNA from 1 species
ACUUAAUAGCUAAACUAUUGAUUUUGAGAACAAAGUUAUCUAUAUUAAUUUGAUAUACGUUAUAUAUCAAAGUAUAUUUUUUUUUCCCCUCACAAGUGGUUCAGGGUCAAGAACCAAAUAACUCCAUCUUAUUAUUAUUGAUGUGCGAUGUAUAUUUUGACUAACAUCAUAACGCACAAAGAUGGGUUCUCAAAGUUGAGGAAACAAGUUAGUUUUUCUAUCAUGAGGGGGAGACAGGAUAAACAAUUGAGAUGAUUAACACCAUAACACACAAAGAUGGGUUCUCAAAGUUGAGGAAACAAGUUAGUCUUUCUAACAUGAUGGGGAGACAUGAUAAACAAUUGAGAAAAAGUUACGUGGAAUGAAUUAUCAUUUGUAUAUCUAG